UCUUGGGCCCCACCCCCGGAGACU
rnacentral:miRNA from 1 species